CUGUAUUUUAGUUUGGGACUAGUCCUGUCUGUGAAACCAGGAGAUAGCCUCUUUACUCCUUUAUCUUAUAUAUUGUUUUCUAAUAUUCUCUCCGUUGUCUCUCCACACAAGCGUCCUUCUCGACUACAACAUCUCGUUCUGACAUCUCGCGUGGUUCUGUGAGAUGUGGGCAGCUUCAUGUUAUUUCUCUCUCUUGCAGUCUGGAGAGGAGGAGCUCCUUUGUGUUAAAACCGAAAGUAAACUGGAGAGUAAAGGCGUAUUCUGAAGAGUUAAACUCCUUCUGUUCAGAUCUCAGAGUUGACGGAGAGAGAUGUUGAAAGAAGAACUCAGAAGAACAGAGAACACAGAACACGUCUUUCUGAGAUCUGAUCUUGACACACCCAGAGCACGACACGGCCUUCUAAAGUACAGCUUUAUUCUUCCUGUUUAACAUUUAUCAGACUGCUAUAUUGAUUCUGUAAACCCUGUACAAUGUGUUUUUCUUAGCGCAGGAGUAGCGUAUGGUUUGAAUAUUCAUGAUCAUGCCUUCUACUUUUUAUUACUGUGAAUGUGCAGCUAAGAGAAAGGAAUGAGGACAUUAGCCGUGUUUCCGCCGCAGGAACUUUAUCCAGGAACUAGGGACUCUGUGCUGGGACUCGGUGUGUUUCCACCACAGGAACCAGGAACUAAAUAAAUCACCCUCAGAAAGUCUUUUAGAAAGUUUUUAAAUUGCCUGACAAACAUCCAAAAUACCAAAUAAAAUACAGAGAAAAACACUUCUUAAUUCAAAGAAAUCCAAAUAGCAGCAUAACAAAAAAUACAGAGAUAAACAAACAGGAAAAGUAAGAAAGAAAAUAACUAAAUAAAUAAAUACAAACAUAAAUACUACUACAAAGGACUUAAUCAUCAAAAAAAAAAAAAAAAAAAAACCUUCAAAAGGCUACAUAGUUUAAGGGCUUUUUUGUGAUACAUGUGCUUUAGGGAAAUGAAGAAGACCAUUAAAUCUUGCUGGAAAAGUAAAAAAAGGUUUAUUAAAGAAUCAAGAUUUAUGAAUUAAUUGGCCAAAAUCACAGUAUUAUUAAUAAAAAAUUCAACAUCACAAUUUCGACAAAAGGACAAAUAUUUUACAGUUCUGAAAUCAAAGUCAGGUAUUACAUACUUCAAAUAUAAAUGUAAAAAGGUCAUCCCAGAAUUAUUCUGACAAUUUGCAUAAAUAAAACAAAUGUUCCGAUGUCUCUGUCUGCUCCACAAAAGGUGCAUUCAUUACAAUCCAAAUUAAACCUGUGUCUGAGAAACUCAUUACAGGGAUAAAUAAAAAUUAUUUUAAACUGAACUUCUUUUUGCUUUUGGUAAAAGUGGAAAAGAGAGAAAUCUUGUUCUAAUUUGAACCAAUUUAUCUUCAGGAAAAUCAAAAACAAGUAGUCUCUUCUUUACUUUAAUUAAUUUACAUUAUAAUAAUACCUGACUGUGAAAAGAUGAUCAUUUACACUUUAACUUUGAUGGCUCAAAAUCACAUCUUAAGAGGAAAUCAGUGCCCCCAAAAGAAUAAACCCAACUGAAUGUUUAAGGAAGGCUUGGAGCCUCCUCAGUUUAAGAGGAUCAUUCAUCACAUCCAAAUCAAUCUCGUUCAACCCUCCCUCACUGAUCGCUUCACUGCAUCUGAUUUUCUGAUAUAGUUCUGCUGGUUUUUCCAAAUAAAUUUAUACUGAAUUUGAUUAACUAAAAAA